UUUUUGAGAAAAAUUUAAAGUCUAAUCUGCCCACUGAAAAAUUUUAAAGGGCCGCAGUAUUUUGACUGUGCUAAGGUAGCAUAAUCAUUUGUUUUUUAAUUGAAAACUAGUAUGAAUGAUUGGAUGAAUUAUAAGUUGUCUCUUAUUAAUAAAUUUAAAAAAUUUAGUUUUUAGUUAAAAUGCUAAAAUAAUUUUAAAAGACGAGAAGACCCUGUAGAUUUUUAUUUAUAUUAUAUAUAUUAAUUUUUAUAAAAUAUUUAAUUAUUAGUAUGAAUUUAAUUGGGGUGAUUAAAAAAUUUAAUAAACUUUUUUUUUAUUUUUGUUAUUUAUAAAUAAUUAUGUUUGAUCCAUUAUUAGUGAAAAAAGAUUAAAUUACCUUAGGGAUAACAGCGUUAUUAUUUUUGAAAGUACAUAUUGAUAAAAUAGAUUGCGACCUCGAUGUUGAAUUAAAAUAUCUUUAAAAGCAGAAAUUUAAAGUAUUAGUCUGUUCGACUAUUGAUUUUU
rnacentral:rRNA from 1 species